GCCGCAGCAGUAGCUUUACGUAAUUCAUC
rnacentral:sRNA from 1 species